UUUUUUUCUUUUUUUUUUUUUUCUCCUUGAGGUAGGUGGUACCUUCCCUCAUUGAACUAAAGAAUUUCUCGCUGGAACAUCUAAAGCAUGACAUUGAUGAGACACAGUUAACCUGCACUCCUGUCUGCUGCAGAGCAGGGGAAUAAAAGCUUUCUGGUAUGUAAGUUCAAAGAAAUGGACCUUUUACCAGAUUUGAACAGUUGUCUUGGGAAUGCAGAUUUAUGAAAAUUGAUCCCCUGUCUUUGUCCAGGAGAACAAUGUGCCUUUCUUCCCCCACGUUUGCCCCCUCAGAACUUCUUCAGAAAAACUUUUUUUAAUUAAUAGAGGAUAGCCUUGCAGCCACAAGGUUAUAAGAUGUCUCUGACAAACCUCUCUUUGGAUACAGUCAAAGAGGGAGAUAUUUAGACUUCACAUUCAAUUUAAAGCGGAGGUCAGAGUUCAAAAGUGUAGUUUGCCCUUGUCAUGUUCCAUUUGGAAUUCAAAUAGUCAGAAAAACAAAAGGCAAAAUGACACAUUGCCAUCACUGGGAUUCUCCAGCCUGCUCCAAAACAGGCACAAGGGGAAAAGGAAGGACAUUUCCAAUGGUGUUUAUUGGGAUUUAUUCUAUAUAAUCUCCACAUUUUAAAGUACCCAAAAUAACCAGACCAUUAAAGUAGGUGUACACUAUGACUUCAAAACUACUAGCAUUGAGGAUAAACAAGUUUAUUUCUAUUCUUCCUUAAACAACCUUAAUAAAACAAAUAACUCCAAAUCAGAACUUAGGGAAGACAGAUAAUUUUAGAUGCCCUUACACUGACUGCUGCUGUAUAUGAAAUUUUCUUGCCAUUUGGUCUGAUUGUUCUCUGGGAGGAAAUAGUAACAACUUCCCUGAUUUCUGCCAUUUUCCUGAAAUACAACAAUGAAAACAAGAAGAGAGCAGAGUAUACACAUUAUGAAAAUGGGAAAUGAUUUAGGAUUUUUUUCCAAAUAUUUCAUUGUAUAAUUUUUGCUCAAAAUAAUUGCACUCUUGGGAAGCACUCCAGUAACAUUUUCCUCCUCAUCAUGCUGCAUUUGUCUCUAAAUACAGUCAGAAAAGAAGACAAGCCACAGAAUGCAUUAGCAGCAGCUAGAGAAGCCAAAAAAGCAGCUGAGAUAAUAAAAAAUAGACAAACCUCACUCCUUUUCAAGCAUUCUUGUCAUGUGGAAGCUUCUAUUUACACAAGUGCACAACUCCUUCAACCAUAAAUACUUAUCUAUAAAAAUAUAAGCACUACACAGAGCCUGUAGGACUCAUCAUUCAUUCAUUUAUCAUUCUUCACACAGUCCUGUACCUUCAGCCCUAUUUCUGAUUACACUCUCUCCCCGAGCUCCUGCAGGUUAACAUUUAUUUCUUCUCCAACCAUGCCAACUCCUGCUAAGCAUCCUCCUGUAUUCCACAGCUGUGGGCACAGAAGCUCCUUGUCAGCUCUCCUGUAGCACAGUUUGAAGCAUAAACUCUAAAUUCUGUUGUGUUCUGGGUGUUUGCUCAUUCCCACCCUGGCUGCGUGUGCAGAUCUCCCCUGUAGGAAUGUUGGUGAGGUAAACAAGUUACCCUUUGUCUCUUUAAAAAGGAGAAAAGCUCAGAAGUUUCUCUCCUCAAUUUGGUUAAAAGACACCUCAUAGGACCUUGGGGACUUCACCUCAAAUUUAAGGAUAGCCAAUUGGACAGGAGCCAAAAAGUCCCCCCUAAGCAAUCCCCUAGAAAUGAAGAGAACAAAAAAAGUGGUUUUUGUGAAGAAGUGCUUUUGUGAAGUGUUUUAGCAGGAGCAAGAACCUUUUGCCCUGGCUGUUUUUUUCUCUGUAAAGAGCUUUUUUUAUUUUGCCUUUUAUUAAAACUUUCUUGUUUCCAACAAUGUCACAGGAGCCAUCCUGCUACUUUAUGCCACCUGAGGUAGCUGAGCUAUCAAGGGUUUGUAGCUUGAUGCCACCCUUGUAGCUGGGCUAUCAAGGGUAUGAUGUUUGAAUAUGAGAGCCUGUAUGACCUGGCUCAAACAGAUAAAACCCUCCCCAGCUGCAGCUCUGCUCCCAGAUCAGUGCUCAUUUCUGGCUGACCAGGCUGGUUUGGGUAAAUCCAUCCAGCCACGAGGCAUUCCAGCUUGGGAAGGAUGGCAUGGAGAGCACUGUUCACUCAGCUGGGAUGUUUGGUACAGAACACGGGAUGGCAUGGUGUGGAUAUUCUCAGUUCAGUCAGAGAGAAAAAGAGAAAGAUUUCUGCCAGGCUAAGCCUGAGAAAAAGUCCAAGAGGAAUGUAAACAAUCAAUUAUCUUGCUUUCUGUUCAUAUUGUUUAUAGAUACGUUCUACCACACUGACCUGAGUCCAGUGUACCAGUCAGGUGAAAUGUGUUUACUCUAAGACCAAUG
rnacentral:lncRNA from 1 species